rnacentral:rRNA from 1 species
AUGGCAGGAGCUCGAUCUCGAGAGCUCUGCCUGGAACCGCGAUGCCACCUCCGGGCCGACGCCGUGCAUCACCUUUGCGGCCGGCGAGCCGCGCCCGCAGUGGCCGGAAACACGCCGCCCCUCGCCUGUGGCCGUGACUGCUUCGUCGGCUCUACGUACGCCAACGGCAGCCUAAUUAAGCCGCACAAUUUAUUUACCCGGGAGCCGUGUGCUGUGUCUGCACAGAACACAACACCACAGACACAGAGAAGAGCAGAGCAGCCGAGCAAAGUAAAGAAACCAAGAGAGAUGGCGUCCAAGGCAUUCCCAGCUCUGGUCCUUCUGGCGCUCGUCUGCAGCCAGCUCGUGGUCGGCGGCCAUGCCCAGCCCUACAUCGGCGGCACCAGGGGAGGAGGAGGAUCUGCCGCCGGACUGCGGCCACCGACUUCCACCGCUACCCAUGGCCACUCCUCCACCAUUGGAGGAUACGACGGGACUGGAAGGCCUUCAGCCGUGGAAGAAGACAAGGCCUUCAUGAUCAACAGCCUGCCGGCGCACGACCGCCCGCUUCCUGUCCCGCCUUCCGGUCACUAG